rnacentral:lncRNA from 1 species
UAAACACAGACACAUAUUGGAUAGAGUAGAGAUGAAUAUCUUUAAGAUUCACAUGGCAUUCUUUCUAGACCAUCAUCCAUGUCCAAAGAGCAUCAGAACAUGGGAUCUGCUGCUGAUGCAUUGAAGCAGUUCCAGAAAGAUCACUGUUAUCUGACUAUUAGUUUUUGAAAUGUUUCAUUCCAAGCUUCUUCAGAAUUUGGAAGGAUCAUAGGAAGAUGGGCAGGAAAAGUCUUGUGGGUUUUCCUUACUGCUUUUCCUCCUGUGUUCUUCUACAUGGUGCAAAGCAUGAACUAUGAUUGGUCUCUGAGGUCUUGCACUAUUUCUUUUUGGUAAUGUUGCCUGAUGAGCAGGUAAUGAAUUCUGGUCUUUAAUGUGCAUCCAGAGAUCAUGAUUUCCUAAUAAUCCAAUGUGUUUUCUUAGAAUCAUCAUUGUAUUGAAUAUAUAAAACAUCUAAACUGAUUUACAGUGUAUGGAGGAUAUGUCUGGGUUCUGUGCUGUCACUACACAAUUCUAUGUGCAUUGAGUGUAGUUUAACUCCACUAUAUUGUUGUGGCUGCUCAGUAUUGCUUAUUGACCAUCUAACUCCCAGGAAGUACAUUAUACAGAGAAACUACCUUUUCAAUGUAUUAUUUCAUGAAUUUUGUAUUAACAAACAUUAAAUUUAAAAGUAUUCUGUCUCUG